UGGGGAAUCUUGGACAAUGGGCGCAAGCCUGAUCCAGCCAUGCCGCCUGAGUGAAGAAGGCCUUCGGGUUGUAAAGCUCUUUUACCAGGGACGAUAAUGACGGUACCUGGAGAAUAAGCCCCGGCAAACUUCGUGCCAGCAGCCGCGGUAAUACGAAGGGGGCUAGCGUUGUUCGGAAUUACUGGGCGUAAAGCGCACGUAGGCGGAUUGUUAAGUCAGAGGUGAAAUCCCGGAGCUCAACUUCGGAACUGCCUUUGAUACUGGCAAUCUAGAGUCCGGAAGAGGUUAGUGGAAUUCCCAGUGUAGAGGUGAAAUUCGUAGAUAUUGGGAAGAACACCAGUGGCGAAGGCGGCUAACUGGUCCGGUACUGACGCUGAGGUGCGAAAGCGUGGGGAGCAAACAGGAUUAGAUACCCGUGUAGUCCCUGAGCGGGCUGGCAAGGCGCAU
rnacentral:rRNA from 1 species